ACGGAAGGCAGCAGUGGGGAAUAUUGCACAAUGGGGGAAACCCUGAUGCAGCGACGCCGCGUGAGUGAAGAAGUAUUUCGGUAUGUAAAGCUCUAUCAGCAGGAAAGAAAAUGACGGUACCUGACUAAGAAGCCCCGGCUAACUACGUGCCAGCAGCCGCGGUAAUACGUAGGGGGCAAGCGUUAUCCGGAUUUACUGGGUGUAAAGGGAGCGUAGACGGCUUUGCAAGUCUGAAGUGAAAGCCCGGGGCUCAACCCCGGAACUGCUUUGGAAACUGUUAAGCUAGAGUGCAGGAGAGGUAAGUGGAAUUCCUAGUGUAGCGGUGAAAUGCGUAAAUAUUAGGAGGAACACCAGUGGCGAAGGCGGCUUACUGGACUGUAACUGACGUUGAGGCUCGAAGGCGUGGGGAGCAAACAGGAUUAGAUACCCUGGUA
rnacentral:rRNA from 1 species